UACGAAGGGGGCUAGCGUUGCUCGGAAUCACUGGGCGUAAAGGGCGCGUAGGCGGCGUUUUUAAGUCGGGGGUGAAAGCCUGUGGCUCAACCACAGAAUUGCCUUCGAUACUGGGACGCUUGAGUGUGGUAGAGGUUGGUGGAACUGCGAGUGUAGAGGUGAAAUUCGUAGAUAUUCGCAAGAACACCGGUGGCGAAGGCGGCCAACUGGACCAUCACUGACGCUGAGGCGCGAAAGCGUGGGGAGCGAACAGG
rnacentral:rRNA from 1 species